ACUCCUACGGGAGGCAGCAGUGGGGAAUAUUGGACAAUGGGCGCAAGCCUGAUCCAGCCAUGCCGCGUGAGUGAUGAAGGCCCUAGGGUUGUAAAGCUCUUUCACCGGAGAAGAUAAUGACGGUAUCCGGAGAAGAAGCCCCGGCUAACUUCGUGCCAG
rnacentral:rRNA from 1 species